GAGAGAGAAUUUGGAUCUUGAAAUGGUGAAUUGUGAUUAACCUCCUCAAUUCUGUUAUGAUUAUGGUAUUUAUAUGUUGUACUAAUCACACUGAAAAUGUUAAUUAGCAAUGGUUAAUGGUGAUUAGCAAAAAUAAGGUGCUUUGGCAAAAUUUGAAAAUUGGUGGUGCAUGGAGUAAUCCAACGUGAACAGUGCCAAUGCAUGAUCAAAACAGAAUUAUGUAUUGAUACAA
rnacentral:lncRNA from 1 species